rnacentral:rRNA from 1 species
AUUGAACGCUGGCGGCAGGCCUAACACAUGCAAGUCGAACGAGUGGCGGACGGGUGAGUAAUGUCUGGGAAACUGCCCGAUGGAGGGGGAUAACUACUGGAAACGGUAGCUAAUACCGCAUACCAACGGCUCUGCCCAGAUGGGAUUAGCUAGUGGGGGGGGUAACGGCUCACCUAGGCGACGAUCCCUAGCUGGUCUGAGAGGAUGACCAGCCACACUGGAACUGAGAGACGGUCCAGACUCCUACGUGAGGAAGCAGUGGGGAAUAUUGCACAAUGGGGGAAAGCCUGAUGCAGCCAUGCCGCGUGUAUGAAGAAGGCCUUCGGGUGGUAAAGUACUUUCAGCGAGGAGGCGUUACUCGCAGAAGAAGCACCGGCUAACUCCGUGCCAGCAGCCGCGGUAAUUC